AGCAGCCGCCGCGGGAAUACGAAGGGUGCAAGCGUUAAUCGGAAUUACUGGGCGUAAAGCGUGCGUAGGCGGUGAGUUAAGUCUGCUGUGAAAUCCCCGGGCUCAACCUGGGAAUGGCAGUGGAUACUGGCUCGCUAGAGUGUGUCAGAGGAUGGUGGAAUACCCGGUGUAGCGGUGAAAUGCGUAGAGAUCGGGAGGAACAUCAGUGGCGAAGGCGGCCCCCUGGACAAAGACUGACGCUCAGGUGCGAAAGCGUGGGGAGCAAACAGGAUUAGAUACCCGUGUAGUCCCUGUCUCUUAUAA
rnacentral:rRNA from 1 species